CGCGUAGGCGGUUUCUAAAGUCAGAUGUGAAAGCCCGGGGCUCAACCCGGAAGUGCAUUUAGAAACUUAGGGACUUGAGUAUGGGAGAGGGAAGUGGAAUUCCUGGUGUAGCGGUGAAAUGCGUAGAUAUCAGGAGGAACACCGGUGGCGAAGGCGACUUCCUGGACCAAUACUGACGCUGAGGCGCGAAGGCGUGGGGAGCAAACGA
rnacentral:rRNA from 1 species